UAAGGAUUUAUUAUUUUGUUGCCGGCCUCGUACAGAGCAGCAAUCGCAAAGUCAAGAUUGGCAUAACACUAGCAGCAACCUAGCACUAAAAUCCCUAAUACGGCAUUUAGAAUACUAUGACGCUUAAACAUAAUAUCUCCGGACAGUCAAUCCUCGAAGAGUUACGAAGACAAAGUGAAGACAUAAACUUGAGUUCGGAAGAUGGGUUGGAACAAAUUAGGCUCAAUGAUGAUGGGGAUGAAAUUUCAGAGACGGAGAUGUUAAAUCAAAGUGGUGGUGAUCUACCAGAACGUGCUGCACCUAAGAAUAAAAGAGAUGAAAAUGAGCCACUGCUUGUGAAAGUUAAAGUUGUCCGUGAUCAAAGACAUAAAAAAACAUACCAGUAAUGCUGCAUAUCCCAGUGGUUUUGGCAAGUCAAAGCGCAUCUUUGGAAGGGCAAUAUGCGGAGGUUCUAGCAGUGCAUCGCAACAGUAUGUUGCAGAAUUAGAAAAGCAACUUCAAGAAGCUAAAGGUCAAGUGGCAACUCUUUACAGAUUUCUACAACAGAAAUACGGUGAUGAAGUACCUACCUUGUAUGAUUCUGUGUCAUACAUUGAGUCGGAAUGAUGCACCUCAUGUCAUGUUUAUUUUAUUUUUAAUUUAUGUCUAGUUUAUACUGUGAUUAGAGAUAUUUUUAUUUCUUAUUGUACAGAAUUAUGCAACUUGGUUUCUGUUAUUUCUUUACUAUAUCU